ACUCAAAUGAAUAGACGGGGGCCCGCACAAGCGGAGGAACAUGUGGUUUAAUUCGAUGAUACGCGAGGAACCUUACCCGGGUUUGAAAGUAUGUUGCAUAGUUUGGAAACAGGCUUUUCCUUAUAGGACCACAUACUAGGUGCUGCAUGGUUGUCGUCAGCUCGUGCCGUGAGGUGUCGGCUUAAGUGCCAUAACGAGCGCAACCCUCAUUGCCAGUUACCAUCACGUUACGGUGGGGACUCUGGCGAAACUGCCGGCGUAAGCUGUGAGGAAGGUGGGGAUGACGUCAAAUCAGCACGGCCCUUAUGUCCGGGGCUACACACGUGUUACAAUGGUCGGUACAAAGAGCAGCCACUUGGUGACAAGGCGCUAAUCUCUAAAGCCGAUCUCAGUUCGGAUCGAAGUCUGCAACUCGACUUCGUGAAGGUGGAUUCGCUAGUAAUCGCGCAUCAGCUACGGCGCGGUGAAUACGUUCCCGGGCCUUGUACACACCGCCCGU
rnacentral:rRNA from 1 species